rnacentral:rRNA from 1 species
CACGCCCUAAACGAUGAACACUCGAUGUUGGCGAUAUACGGUCAGCGUCUAAGCGAAAGCGUUAAGUGUUCCACCUGGGGAGUACNUGAUACGCGAGGAACCUUACCCGGGCUUGAAAGUUAGUGAAUGUGGCAGAGACGCCACAGUCCUUCGGGACACGAAACUAGGUGC